GUGAAUUAUUUAAAAAUGUGAGUGUAAUUUUUACAUUAUAUUUUGAGAUUUAAUUUCGAAUUUGACCAAAAUAUUAGCACUACAUAAAUUGUUGGAUUCUCCAAGGGUGACCACAACCGGUACAACUUUUUUUCCACUAAAAAUGUUACCUAAGGUCUCUAGAUUGCCACUGAUACGCACAAGUCUCAUAAUGUACAUUUGGUCAAAAGUUAUGAGUCAUAAAUAAAAGGGUGCCCUCAACCGGCACUCUUCCCCUACAUACCACGUAUAAAAAGACAAAAAAAAAGAAUUGUACACAACAAACAAGAACUCAUAGUGAAAAGUACAUUUGUCCAAAUUAAAUUUUUAUUCAAUAUGAUUUGUAACAUCGAGGACAAAGUUUUAUGACAUAAAUAAUUAUUAUUAAUGGUCAAUACCACUCUUAGCACACAAUAUUGGAAGUUAGUAUUUUGAAGAAAAUGGAUUGAAAUUUGAGGUGGCGGCGAUUAUUUUUCACGAACAUUGUUACACUCAUGCUCUCAUGCAACUGAUCACUUAUUCUUACAUUAAAAUCUUAUAUCAUCAUACAUUUUUAAAAGUCUAGGGUUAACUAUAACACCUAUUUAUAUGUGAAACAUAUUAUCAACUAAGUCAUAUAACAAAAUUUAAAGCGCCAAAAUUUGUAUGUACAUAAAAUACAAAUAUGCUAAUUUCGAAGAAAAAAAUUGAAAUUUUUUCACAAUUAUAUUUUAGGAUGAUGAAAAAAGUGGACACUAAUGCAAUUGUAACUUGUUUAUUUUUCAAUAAAAUUCUUGCAAAAACUAUUAUUAUAAUUAUUAUUAUGCAAUUUUACCUUUUAAUUUUUAAUAUAAUGUUCAUUAAAAAUUAAUAAAAGAAAAUAUUGUAACAGAAUACCUCUUCAAUACCAGCAGUAAGCUAACUCAAAACCAAUAGCAAACAUCUUAUCAACUUUAUUAGUUUGAAAUGUAUUUAUUUAUCUUUUAUUCUUCCGUUAAUACCUUCUGUAUUUAAUCAAAGAAAAUAAUAUUUUGGUAUUGACUUAGGAUUACAAGGGAAAUUUUGUUCGCAAUCUAUUUCGGAAGUUAAUGAAAGUUUGUUUCAAUUAAAUUGACGUAAAUGUAAUUAUAAAAAAAAGAAACGAAAUUUGAACAUAUUAAAUUUUUAUUGAAAUUCGUUUAUCUUUGAAAUUAUUAUGUGCCUAUAAAAUUACGUUUUUUUAAUUACUAAAUUUAAAAAAUAAUCUUUUACAUGUAAAUAUGUCCUUUGUAAUUUAUGUAAAGUAGUAAAGGCUUUAUAUGUAGUAUAUGAUUUGAGAAAUUUUUAAGUGUUCUUAGUUUUUUAUCGACUUUUAGAAAAUUUAAAUAUAAAGAAAAAUAUCCGAAAUGUAAAACGUCUAUUGGAAAAAUAUUCCCCUUUCCUCUGCAGACAGCAAAAAUGAUCUACUGAAAUGACUCCAUCCAAAAGUUUCACAUUUUGGAUUUCAGUGUGCCGUUAAACGUGACGGCAUGUAUUACAUAAAACAUAUUUAAUUUUUAUUUACCAAUUAUGAAGUUAAUUAUCAUAAGGUGUUAAACAUCUUUAAUCGGAUCAAAGAAAUUUAAAUUUUAAAUUCAUUACAUUUUUUAGGGUUUUUAUCUUUCUCAUUAAAAUUGAUUGUAUAAAUGCAUAAAAUUAAGAAAAUUAAAAAACUAAAAGUUUACUAUAAGGCGCUAUUUGUUUAAAAUAAGAUUUUCAAUCACUAUCAAUAUUAGAAAACGUAGAAUAUAAUUAUGCAAUUCUUUAAAAAUAAAAUUCCAUGUAAUUUAAAUUUAAAAUUUCAAUGAUCGGAGGAAGUUAUAUUUUUUCUUGCAUGUGGGUCCUAAAAACAUACAGGGUGGUGAAAAAAAAGAAAAUCUUAAUUUUUGACUAUUUUAAAGUAUAUAAUCUUGAAAAAAUUAAGAUUAUUGAACUACUUUCACAAUUUUGACUAGGGUAAAUGCACUAAUUGCGGCGCGAUUCGAGUCAAAACACCUUUGAAAUAGAAAAUUCGACAUUUCUAUUGUAUAAACUCAAUUUUUAAGACUUAUUAAACUAAAAGCUCAUGUUAUUUAGAUAUUAAAAAAAAAUUUAACUUUAUAAAAAUCGAUUAUUUAAAUAAAUAUGAUAAAUUAAAACUAAUACCGUAAUUAAAAAUGUUUCAAUUACGGCGAGGGAAAAAAUUUGAUCUCAAAUAAUUAAAUUAAUAAUUGUUUAAAUGUGCAUCUUUAUAAGUAAUUGUAUCAAAAAAAGAUUAAAAUAAUUUUUUUAAUCAUUUUGCAACAUGUAUAUUAAAUAUAAUAGUUAGUUAUUUUUUGUGAAUGCGCCGUAAUUGGUACACUUACCUUAUAUUUCAUCGCCAAUUUUUACAGUCUUUUUUAAUGAUUUAAAAACAAAAAUUUUAAUUUAAUAAAAAAAGUAAAAAAUAAGUUGAAAUUUCAUUAAUCUUUCCUAUUAAAUGUUGAACUACUUUUACAAUUUUGACUAUUUUUCAUCGCCAAUUUUUUUAUAAGCUAUUUUAGUGAUUAAAAUGUCUCGUAUGGAUGUAAAAAAAUUCUAAAAGUGUCAGAAAUGAAGAUUCUCUUUUUUUUUUACCACCUUGUGUGUUUCUAGGACUCAAAUGAUGCAAUAAAAAACUAUCGUGCGAUCACUUAAAUUUAAAAGGGUCAAAAUAUAGGUAGUGCCUACCCUUAAGUUCAUAUAUUAAUUUAAGUUUUUAAUAAGAUUUAAGAAUGUAAUAAUCCUUUUAGUAAAAAAAUUCUCAUUUAAGACCACACUUUUCCUUGACAGCUUUAUUACGUUUAACAUUUUGAUCUUCUAACAUCAAAACUAUAGAAAAGAAAAAGAAUGUAAAUGUACAGUGAAUAAUUUUCAUGUUUUCAAAUCAUCAGAUUACAUUUGUACAUACAAGAAAAAUAUUAAAAAAGAGCUGCAAUGCCAAUGUCAUUAAAUUUAUUUUAAUUGAAAAAGACUUAAAUUCACUUUCGUUUUCUAAAAUAAUUACGUUAUCUAGAAUAUAAUCACAAUGAAGCAGAUUUAAAGGAAAAAAGGAGAUAGAGGGGAAAAGAGGAGACAGAGACUUCUAAUGUAAUCCAAUUAAAUAAACUUUAAUUCUUAAAUGACUUCUAAAAUGAUAACUUUAGUAAGAAAUUUUGCAGAACCAAUCAAUAAGAACUAUCAAACGAACAAUGUGUUUUCAGUUUCACAACUGUUUUUAUUAAACAAAGCGGAGUGAAUCGCCAGCUCCCAGGCAAAUCACUCAGCUUAAAAAUGUUUGUAAUACUAUUAUUAUUAAUAUCAACUUUGAGAUUGUGAAAUUGAAAGACGUUCGUUUGCUUUUUUACGGUAAAUAAAGAUACUAUGGAAUGUAUACAUUUGUUUUAAAAUAUCGUUACUUUACACAUUAUUAUUUCCCGUUUUUAUCCGAGGAAUAAAACACAUUCACUAGAAUUCGCUAUCGUAGAAUGAAAAUGCGGUACUCAAUUAUUCUUUGUUAUGUGCAGCCCAGUAUUUCUCUAAUUGCAACUUGUAUUUCUAUAACGUUAAACUAUAUGUAUCGGUUUAUGAAUAAAAUAAAGUAAAAUGUCUCCAAGAUUCAGUCUCGCCAACCUCAGCAGUAUUUGUAUGUUUUUUUUGUUUUGACAAAAUCACUUUUUAUCACAAGUCACACAUGGGCAUAAAUAAUCUCACUUCACUCUCGAUAUUCUCUCAAAUUGACUUAAGUAUUAUCCGAGAAAAUCUGCUUUUACAUAUCGACUCAAAUUGUUACAGAGAUAUUUACAUAUUCACUGUAAUGUAUUCAUUUAUUAUUUUUUUAAUACUACUUUAUACACUCAGUAGAGCCGAUUCAUUAAAUUGAUAUUUUAAUAUCAAAUUAUAUAUUCAAACAAUAUUAGAAGUUAUUGUACAAUGAAAGAAAAAAGUUUGGCAUGGUAUACAUAUUUAUGUGUGAUAUUAGUACUCUAUCUCCUUGUGUAUCUGCUGAAGUAAUUUUCUACCUAUUCCGAAGUGAACUGUGUUGCUUGAACAUUCCUUCCUUGGAAAUCAAUUAACAAAAUGCUCGACACGAGUUUAUGUAUAUAUGUCCACGCAGAUUAUACUGCCCCAAAAAUUUUUUAAGAAAUAUUCCUAUUCGAGGAGUAAGAUGAUUCCGCGCAAAUAAAAAACGAUGUUUAUUUUUUAAUUCGAGAAAUCCUUCAAAAAAUUUGUCUCUUGUCUCUAUGGGUAUAAAUAAUUACUCAAAUUUUGUGAGUGUCAGAGCUGUACGAAUUAAUAUAUAUAUAUAUACGAAUCUGAUUCUUUUGAGAGAGUGUUCAAAAUUAUGAUCGGAUAGUAAAUCAUAAGAAUAAAUAAAAUUUAACACGGUUUAAAGACAAUUUGAAAAUGACAUUUAAGCAACGAAUACUCAAAAGAACUAUCAAAUAUUAAAACAUUGGAAACAUAUUGUAAACUGCAUAUAUUGUAUUUUUAAAAAAAAAUUUACUAACAAAUCAUCGUUUUGAACUUUCUGUUAAUAAUGGAAUUAUAAUUUUUAAAAUUCUACUUAGUGUACAAGUAAAUAGCAACGAUUAAACCAUAAAGACCCAAAAC